CNCNGNNAGAUAAGCCANGCANGUCUAAGUACAUGCCGGUAUUAAGGCGAAACCGCGAAUGGCUCAUUAAAUCAGUUAUGGUUCCUUGGAUCGUACCUUACUACUUGGAUAACUGUGGCAAUUCUAGAGCUAAUACAUGCAGCAGAGCUCCGACCUUCGGGGACGAGCGCUUUUAUUAGACCAAAACCAAUCGGACCUCGUGUCCGUACUUUGUGGUGACUCUGUAUAACUUUGGGCUGAUCGCACGGGCCCGUCCCGGCGACGUAUCUUUCAAGUGUCUGCCUUAUCAACUUUCGAUGGUAGGUUACGCGCCUACCAUGGUCGUAACGGGUAACGGGGAAUCAGGGUUCGAUUCCGGAGAGGGAGCCUGAGAAACGGCUACCACAUCCAAGGAAGGCAGCAGGCGCGCAAAUUACCCACUCCCAGAACGGGGAGGUAGUGACGAAAAAUAACAAUACGGGACUCUUUUGAGACCCCGUAAUUGGAAUGAGUACACUCUAAAUCCUUUAACGAGGAUCCAUUGGAGGGCAAGUCUGGUGCCAGCAGCUGCGGUAAUUCCAGCUCCAAUAGCGUAUAUUAAAGUUGUUGCGGUUAAAAAGCUCGUAGUUGGAUCUCAGUUCCAGACGGGUGGUCCGCCUACCGGUGGUUACUGCCUGUUCUGAACAGCCAGCCGGUUUCUCUUGAUGAUCUUCACCGGUUGUCUUGGGUGACCGGCAAGUUUACUUUGAAAAAAUUAGAGUGCUCAAAGCAGGCGUGACGCCUGAAUAAUGGUGCAUGGAAUAAUGGAAUAGGACCUCGGUUCUAUUUUGUUGGUUUUCGGAACACGAGGUAAUGAUUAAGAGGGACAGACGGGGGCAUUCGUAUUGCGACGCUAGAGGUGAAAUUCUUGGACCGUCGCAAGACGAACUACUGCAANGCUUUUUUNCCCAAGAAA
rnacentral:rRNA from 1 species